rnacentral:rRNA from 1 species
CCUACGGGCUGCACCAGUGGGGAAUAUUGCACAAUGGGCGCAAGCCUGAUGCAGCCAUGCCGCGUGUAUGAAGAAGGCCUUCGGGUUGUAAAGUGCUUUCAGCGAGGAGGAAGGCGUUAAGGUUAAUAACCUUGGCGUUUGACGUUACUCGCAGAAGAAGCACCGGCUAACUCCGUGCCAGCAGCCGCGGUAAUACGGAGGGUGCAAGCGUUAAUCGGAAUUACUGGGCGUAAAGCGCACGCAGGCGGUCUGUCAAGUCGGAUGUGAAAUCCCCGGGCUCAACCUGGGAACUGCAUUCGAAACUGGCAGGCUAGAGUCUUGUAGAGGGGGGUAGAAUUCCAGGUGUAGCGGUGAAAUGCGUAGAGAUCUGGAGGAAGACCGGUGGCGAAGGCGGCCCCCUGGACAAAGACUGACGCUCAGGUGCGAAAGCGUGGGGAGCAAACAGGAUUAGAUACCCGCGUAGUC